rnacentral:rRNA from 1 species
UACGUAGGGGGCAAGCGUUGUCCGGAUUUAUUGGGCGUAAAGAGCGUGUAGGCGGCCAGGUAGGUCCGCUGUGAAAACUCGAGGCUUAACCUCGAGAUGUCGGUGGAAACCAUCUGGCUAGAGUCCGGAAGAGGAGAGUGGAAUUCCUGGUGUAGCGGUGAAAUGCGUAGAUAUCAGGAAGAACACCCGUGGCGAAGGCGGCUCUCUGGGACGGUACUGACGCUGAGACGCGAAAGCGUGGGGAGCGAACAGG